GCUAAAUCACUCCCACUUAACAACUUUUUUGUUAUAAUUAAUCAAAUUAGGACACACUAAUCAAUACUUGGAGACAUGUCCGAAUGUUCAGGCUAGUCUCACCACUAGGUUCAGGAUUACGGUUAGAAUCUGGAAGGAUGACCGGUUUAAUAUACAGCCUAGUCUUGUUCGCUUGCCUACCAAAAACUUCGGGUGUGAGUACCAGCCUAGGACGUCUAUUUGUGGUUGUACCCAACAGGAUGCACUACGACACCAGACAGCUGGAUAUUUUCUUUUUUACCAUGGCGCAUUUUACG